rnacentral:lncRNA from 1 species
CGAAAAUUUGGGCGGGAAAAAUUGUGGUCGAAGUUUCACCAAGUUUGUGUUUUUACAAAACCUUCAAAAUUUUACUUUUCUAAUUUGUUUUUGCAAUUUUCUUAGUUUUACUGUAAUUAGAUGAAUAAUUUUAUAGUUAUGCCAAUUAUAUUAUUUUUCCUAGAUGCUUUUCUCAUAUAAUGAUGUAAAAAUAUACUCGAUUUCAUGACAUAUAAUAAUUUUCAAAUCUCACAAGGUCAAUAUUUAGGAAAAAUCUAUAAAAGAGUAAUUUAUUUCCUUCAUAAUGAAUACAAAUAAGUAGUGUGAUGAAAUUUUUUAAUAAUUUUUAUUUAAAUCAUAAAUAACAUCAAUAACAUAUAAAUAACUUUGAUUUUAAUCUUCAAUUUUUUAUUUACAAAUUUUACUUUGUUUACUGAUUGUAAUUAAAUCAGAAAUGAAACAAGUUUCACUUAGUUGUACAAACAUAAAAUGCAGGUUUCAUCAAGUUUUACAAACUUGUCCCUUACAAUAAAAACAUUAAAACCAAAAGUUUUAGCCACACAGGCACAACCUAUGCCUCUUAAAAUCCUUGUGUUCUUUGUGUUUCUUGUGUUCCUUGUUUUCCUUGUGUUUCUUAUGAUCCUUCUGAGCAGUUGAACCAGCAACCCAAAUUCGUGUUCGACACAUACUUAUUCUUGCUCUGAUGUUCUCCUACCGAUGGAUACCUCUUUUCUUGAGUUCUUCUCUUUCUUUUCUUGUAGGCUAGAGGUAAGGCAUUCAACUCCUCGAUUUCUUUUGGAACCAUCCAUUCGAACAUAUGUAAGACUGGAUAUAUAGUCCUUCUAUACGCCAAAGCCUACAUUAAACAAUACAUAUCACUCAACUCGUAUGGUCUAUCUCAUGCUUCGAACACUUAAUGGCAGCGGCUAAUGCAUGGGCACAUGGGUAUCUAUCAAUAUCCAAGUACCUCAGCUGAAUGUUCUAUGUUUCAAAUCCACCAAAUAAUUCUUUCCGUCAUCCCCAAUGAUAUUGUAUUCAAGCUCAAAAAGAGUUCAAUUCAGUCACCAUUAGUUUUUCACUUGUUGGACAUCUUUUAUGCAUUUUAUUCUCCACAGAAGAAACCAAUUUUCGA